UUUUAAAUACUGUGUUGGUUAACAGCCGAAAGAGGUUGGGAGUAUUUACUGGGUGUUUCUGUGUUGAAUACUGGUGAAAAUGCUAGACAGAUUAUUUUGGAACUGCUGGCACAGUUUACUGCAUGCUCUUUGGGUCUUACAUGAAAGUUAAACAUGAAAAUGGUGUUUGGAAGACUAGUGCUGUAUUUAAAAGGAAUCCUCAUGUAGAAAUGUGGGCAGAUGUUUGCACACCUUGCUGAACAUUCCAGACUGAAAUAGUGUGCCGUCUCUGAGGAACCUCCGUGAAAACCUGACAGCUGUGUUUAAUCAGAAUUAUAUGAACAAGAUUAAAAGCCUCCGUAACAGACUGGAAGUGCUCCUGCUAGAGAACAAACGCUCACGCAAAUAAAUGUUCCACAAGUGAAAGCUGUGGCUUGUUUCUGUUUGAUUAGUGCACACGUUUUAUGUUGUCUUGACACUUUUUGGUAAUUGAUUUGUAUCACGUUAUGUUGACUUCACCACUCACUUCCCUAUUUGCCCUGUUGAGCACCUAGUAAUUUAAUUAUUGAUCAAUUUACGCACCUGAAUAUAAAUAGCACAUAUUUUUUACAAACGGGGUGGCCAUCCUAGGCUUUGUGUAUGUCUGUGCAGGAGCGGGAACGCAUAGUUUGGAGUUUAGAACGAUGAGUAAGAGAGUGAAACGGAUCAGUAAAUGGAGCGUCCCGACAAUAAGUAUUGCGCUGAUUGUAUGCCGUUGUUGAAUAAUGAACGUCAGCGGCUUGAGCGUUUUAGCCUGUCGGUAGCCGACUGGAAUUUAGCAAGUUAAAUAGAAUAGGCUUUAUUGUGAUGCUUGUCUCUCUCUCUUUUGUGUGUAUAUAUUUUGUUUAGUAGGUAUUAUUUUGUUUCAUUUAAAUAUGUACUUAUUUUAUUCGCUGGGUUACAGCGUUGUUGCACUUUAAUGCAUGACUUCAUUAAUAUGAACCUUGUUUAACCGUUGGAAAACUCAUUACCUACAUGUGAAUAGAAUGAUUGUCUCUUAAACAUUUACUUUUGUAAACAGUGUGUGGCUACUUGAGGAUUUUACA